UUUUUUUUAACACUCAAAAUUUACUUCAAAAAAGUUCUAAAAAUUGCCUUUUUUUUUUUUCAAAUAACAAAAGGUCCAAACAAAAACAAAUUCCCGUAAUACACAAAUUUAUGUUGGGUCGGGGCUGGACACUCAGUGUCAGUUGAAAGUUUAAGCAUAUUUAUAACUUAAUACUGAAGUUCCAUAAGUUUAUUGAUGAAUGUGAUAAGUUUGUCUCAAUGUAACAGCUCGAGAUCCACUCAAUGUAGCAGCUAUGUUCUCCAGAUUCAUUCGUGUUUGUAAAAAAUGAAAACUAGAGGUGGCUUGAUUGUUCGACGAGUAUUGUUCCAGGAAGCAGCCGUCUUACUUCUUUUCAAU
rnacentral:sRNA from 1 species